rnacentral:rRNA from 1 species
UCCAGAGGUGGCAAGCGUUGUUCGGAAUUACUGGGCGUAAAGGGCGCGUAGGCGGCCUUCUAAGUCAGACGUGAAAUCCCCCGGCUUAACCUGGGAACUGCGUCUGAUACUGGGAGGCUUGAGUAUGGGAGAGGGAUGUAGAAUUCCAGGUGUAGCGGUGAAAUGCGUAGAUAUCUGGAGGAAUACCGGUGGCGAAGGCGGCAUCCUGGACCAUAACUGACGCUGAGGCGCGAAAGCUAGGGGAGCGAACAGG